GCCAGACUCCUACGGGAGGCAGCAGUGGGGAAUAUUGGGCAAUGGGCGAAAGCCUGACCCAGCAAUGCCGCGUGAAUGAAGAAGGUCUUAGGAUUGUAAAAUUCUGUCCUAUGGGAAGAAACAAAUGACGGUACCAUAGGAGGAAGCCCCGGCUAACUACGUGCCAGCAGCCGCGGUAAUACGUAGGUGGCAAGCGUUAUCCGGAUUUACUGGGUGUAAAGGGCGUGUAGGCGGGACUGCAAGUCAGAUGUGAAAAUUAUGGGCUCAACCCAUAACCUGCAUUUGAAACUGUAGUUCUUGAGUGAUGGAGAGGCAGGCGGAAUUCCGUGUGUAGCGGUGAAAUGCGUAGAUAUACGGAGGAACACCAGUGGCGAAGGCGGCCUGCUGGACAUUAACUGACGCUGAGGCGCGAAAGCGUGGGGAGCAAACAGGAUUAGAUACCCCAGUA
rnacentral:rRNA from 1 species